GUAAUGUCGUAGCUUAUUAAAGCUACGUCUAUGAGGAAAAAUGCAUGAAUUGAAUUUGUAUUAAAUACUUUCCCUCCUUUCUUGUAACCUUAACAUACUUACACUUACAAAUAAUUUUUCAGAACUUCAUUUACGUUUAAGCCACACCACUAAGAAGCCAUAAUCUCUCCAUAGAAAACGUUUUUACUUACUUUCAAACCUAAAAAGACCCCAACAGUAGCCAUGACAUCAGCAUUGCACUUAUAAUAGCUGGCAAAGAAAAAAACCUAUAAAAAGAGAGCUAUGACCUCUAAAACUUUCAUCUUCUUUGCUUGCAAACAAGCUGCCUUAUAUGCAACUAUCCUUUCCCUUUACUCGGCUCCUGCUCUUGCUCUUGUUUGAGGCAAUAAAAGAGAGUGAAGCUUCCCGGGGCAUGCAGCACAAGGAGCAGAAGCAGC
rnacentral:lncRNA from 1 species